AUUUAAAAUUUUAAUUAAAUUAAUCUUUUCAUUGUAAUUGAAAAAUUUUUAUUAAACUAAAAUUUU
rnacentral:tRNA from 1 species